UGAGGUUGGAAAGCAGCCAUUUUGGGAAUUUCAGACAGUCUCUGUAGUUUAUGAGGGGAAAAAAAGUGAAUUUGUCUUCGGAACAGAUACUCCCUUUGUUUACGGAGGGGCCACGUCACUGAGCUGUUUUGGUCCUACUGGUAAGACCAGUUCUCAUCCUAAUGUAUACCAUUUACAAAUGUCAAUUGGAGACUCUCCAGAUGAAUCCUAAAGUCAGAAAUUCUUUUUCUGUAAUACUUGGAACUCCAGUCUCCAAUGCCUGAAAAAUCACUGUAUAUUCUUGGGAGAUUAGUUUGUUUUUUGGACCAAAUAUGAGCUCACAAGUCAUCCAUGCCAAGACCUACCCCCACGAGGAGGGAGAUGCAGGCUUGGCCCCCAAAACUGGCCCAGGCUGUUGAGUUGCUCCUGAGGGGCUAUUUAAGCUGAAGAAGCCUGACCUGAGGAAGCCAGAAAAGUCUGUGAUGAUUGGGACCGGGUCAGAGAGCAACCUGACAGCUGUGCUUUGGGGACUGAAAGAAGGAGUUCACAUCCACGUUAGGAAUGAAGACGUACAAGGGCAAGUGUCAACAGCCUGCAAAACAGGAUGCUAGAGAUGCCCAGCUGAGCUCAAGGGGAGAAAUAAUGCUGAGCAAAGAGGCUGUAUUUCAACAAAAGUGAUGGUUGGAGUCAGUGAGCUGAGAGUGUGGAGUCUGGAAUCCUUACCAAGGUGAGCCAGAGCCGUGGGCAGGCAAAGUGAGGAGGAGCAGAAAGUAGUCCUGGCAGAAA
rnacentral:lncRNA from 1 species